CCGCAGCCGCGGGCCGCGCCUCGCGCGCCGCCUGACGCGACACAUCCUCUCAUCGCCAGCGGGCUAAAAUUUCAAUGUCGAGAUAUCUAAAAUAACUUAUCUUUGACAGUUCAGUGAAUAUAAUCGCUUGGGUGGCGGCCAACAGCUUGGGCUACCUAGCAGGUAUUGAUAGUGUUGUCGCUAGCGGUCCUGGACAAAGGAUUGGGAAAUAACGAUCGUCUUCCCUGGGACAAAUGGUCAUGGAGUUUACCCCAACAACCGAUUGAAUACUUCUUUAGAAGACAUCAAACUAUGCCCGUCAAAUCGCCGAACUUCGAAUGCAAGUGUCCUCCGAAUAAAGAAUGCAUUUUGGACUUUAAAAUCAACGAAGCUGUGGCCGAUUUCUAUAAACUUCGUGGUGUUAUGAAAGGAGAAGAGCUCAGGAGAUACCAGGAAGAUGUCCAAGAAAUAAAAGAUGAAACGAAUCUUCAAACAAACGUGGAAAGGCGAUCCAAUGCUAGAAGGAACUUAGGAAAUAAAGAAAAUCCAACAGUUGAUGACACUAACUCUAUAUGCUGCUGCCCACCCCGAACCCUGAUGAUGCCUUCAUUCAUCACAAAUAAAAAGUAUGAUGACUUCAUCGAGAGUUUCGACAAGAAAAAGAUGGACCUUCAAAUUCUAAAGCAGUAAAUCGCAUAUUUUUUCACAUUUCAUAAUAAUUCUCUUUGAUAUAACAAUAAGGUUUUCUUCAUAAACAGAAUCGAGUAUUAAAACCGCUUUUCGAAAUGUUACAUUUUCACUUCGAACCAGGAAAAUCGCGCGCUUGUACUUGUUUACAAAAUGUUUGGUUCAUUUCAUUGAUUCCUUGUUUUCUGUCAUAACAUAUGCCAGCUUUUACUGGGUGAAUGUGUAUUGUUUUGAAAUUAUAAGAAGUGUGGGAUAAAAAUAGGACUUACAUUUUUAUAUACUACAACUUUUUAUGUCCUACUUCAAUAAAUAUAUCCAUAAAC